GUGCUUACCUCGGCAGCACACAUACUAAAAUUGGAAUGAUAUAGAGAAGAUUAUCAUGGCCCCUACACAAGGAUGACAUACAAAUUCAUGAAGUGUUCCGUAUUUUU
rnacentral:snRNA from 1 species